UAUGAUAUCUGACCUGAUUUGUGUGUUUUUUGGAGGGGUUAUUUCUAACUUGAGCUUCAUGAAUAGGCUUCUUUUGUCCAGACUAAGAGAAGUAUAAGAAGGAUGAAAGAGACUCAAUAUUGGCCAAAAUCGAAGUCUUACAAUCAUGUUUCGAACUUCUGAAGAGAACUAAUUUAGCCAAUUAUGCAACUCAAUUGUGAAGUUUGGCUAAGUACUUAUUGGUCGUUUUCGUCGUUGGAGUUGUUAUCUGGUGUUGCUCAAGCUGAUAACUAUAUAUCAGGUUUGCAAGUUUGGUUGAAGAGAAGAAAAAUAAGCAAAACUGGCUUGUGUAUAACCAGAAUAAAUAUUCAAGAUAUCAACGACCCAGUAUGAGGGUAUCUUAAUUAGAUUUAUUUUGGCUUAUGCUCAUAGUCCAACUUUGUUACUUAUGCAAGUGUUUAUAAUCAUAUAAUUGGUUUUGUUGCUAUAGGCAAUUUGGAUA